rnacentral:rRNA from 1 species
AUUGAACGCUGGCGGCAGGCCUAACACAUGCAAGUCGAGCGAGCGGCGGACGGGUGAGUAAUGUAUGGGGACUGCCCGAUAGAGGGGGAUAACUACUGGAAACGGUAGCUAAUACCGCAUACUAUCGGAUAACCCAUAUGGGAUUAGCUGGUAGGUGGGGUAAAGGCUCACCUAGGCGAAGAUCCCUAGCUGGUCUGAGAGGAUGAUACGCCACCCGGGGACUGAGACACGGCCCAGACUCCUACGGAGGCAGCAGUGGGGAAUAUUGCACAAUGUGCGCAAGCCUGAUGCAGCCAUGCAGCGUGUAUGAAGAAGGCCUUCGGGUUUUAAAGUACUUUCAGCGGGGAGGCGUUACCGGCAGAAGAAGCACCGGCUAACUCCGUGCCAGCAGCCGCGGUAAUAC